rnacentral:rRNA from 1 species
GAUGAACGCUGGCGGCGUGCCUAAUACAUGCAAGUCGAGCGAACAGACGAGGAGCUUGCUCCUCUGACGUUAGCGGCGGACGGGUGAGUAACACGUGGAUAACCUACCUAUAAGACUGGGAUAACUUCGGGAAACCGGAGCUAAUACCGGAUAACAUGUUGAACCGCAUGGUUCAACAGUGAAAGACGGUCUUGCUGUCACUUAUAGAUGGAUCCGCGCCGCAUUAGCUAGUUGGUAAGGUAACGGCUUACCAAGGCAACGAUGCGUAGCCGACCUGAGAGGGUGAUCGGCCAAACUGGAACUGAGACACGGUCCAGACUCCUACGGGAGGCAGCAGUAGGGAAUCUUCCGCAAUGGGCGAAAGCCUGACGGAGCAACGCCGCGUGAGUGAAGAAGGUCUUCGGAUCGUAAAACUCUGUUAUUAGGGAAGAACAAAUGUGUAAGUAACUAUGCACGUCUUGACGGUACCUAAUCAGAAAGCCACGGCUAACUACGUG